UACGUAGGGUGCAAGCGUUAAUCGGAAUUACUGGGCGUAAAGCGUGCGCAGGCGGUUAUGUAAGACAGGUGUGAAAUCCCCGGGCUUAACCUGGGAACUGCAUUUGUGACUGCAUAGCUAGAGUACGGUAGAGGGGGAUGGAAUUCCGCGUGUAGCAGUGAAAUGCGUAGAUAUGCGGAGGAACACCGAUGGCGAAGGCAAUCCCCUGGACCUGUACUGACGCUCAUGCACGAA
rnacentral:rRNA from 1 species